rnacentral:lncRNA from 10 species
GGCCCAGUAGUUCAAGACCAGCUCAGCCAACAUGGUGAAACCCUGUCUCUACUAAAAAUACAAAAAUUAGCUGGGCAUGGCAGUGGGCUCUGAUCCAGAGGCUGACACGGAGCCUCUCCCCUCUUUGCUGGGAAUUUAGGCAUGCAUGGCAUAUGCUCCUAUCUGUUCAGAGUUCCUACCCUGUGCAUCCCAGGUGAGCCUGAGCAGUGACUUCUCCAUUUUGGUAAUGGCUAUAAUGCAACCUUAGCUCAGAUUCAGCUAGGCAGGAAGUCCGAAAGGUUCCAUUUAAAGACAGCCUGGGUAAACAAUCAUCAGCGAUGUAGACUGAGUAGGAGCUUUGGAGUAGUCCAGCAAUAAAUUGUUUGUGAGAGACUCAGCUUCCCAUUCAAGGGAUGCAAGGAUCAGGUGUGGUAGAGGGAUCACAGAGACUAACCCAAUCAU